GACGAACGCUGGCGGCGUGCUUAACACAUGCAAGUCGAACGAUGAACCACUUCGGUGGGGAUUAGUGGCGAACGGGUGAAUAACACGUGGGCAAUCUGCCCUUCACUCUGGGACAAGCCCUGGAAACGGGGUCUAAUACCGGAUACAACACUCUCGGGCAUCCGAUGAGUGUGGAAAGCUCCGGCGGUGAAGGAUGAGCC
rnacentral:rRNA from 1 species